ACCUGACUGCUAUCGGAUUGAUACUAAGCCAUGCGAGUCAUUGUAGCAAUACAAGGCAUACGGCUCAGUAACGCGUAGUCAACCUAACCUAUGGACGGGAAUAACCUCGGGAAACUGAGAAUAAUUCCCGAUAGAACAUUAUGCCUGGAAUGGUUUAUGUUCCAAAUGAUUUAUCGCCGUAGGAUGGGACUGCGGCCUAUCAGUUUGUUGGUGAGGUAAUGGCCCACCAAGACUAUUACAGGUACGGGCUCUGAGAGGAGUAGCCCGGAGAUGGGUACUGAGACACGGACCCAGGCCCUAUGGGGCGCAGCAGGCGAGAAAACUUUGCAAUGUGCGAAAGCACGACAAGGUUAAUCCGAGUGAUUUGUGCUAAACGAAUCUUUUGUUAGUCCUAGAAACACUAACGAAUAAGGGGUGGGCAAGUUCUGGUGUCAGCCGCCGCGGUAAAACCAGCACCUCAAGUGGUCAGGAUGAUUAUUGGGCCUAAAGCAUCCGUAGCCGGCUCUGUAAGUUUUCGGUUAAAUCUGUACGCUCAACGUACAGGCUGCCGGGAAUACUGCAAAGCUAGGGAGUGGGAGAAGUAGACGGUACUCGGUAGGAAGUGGUAAAAUGCUUUGAUCUAUCGAUGACCACCUGUGGCGAAGGCGGUCUACUAGAACACGUCCGACGGUGAGGGAUGAAAGCUGGGGGAGCAAACCGGAUUAGAUACCCGGGUAGUCCCAGCUGUAAACUAUGCAAACUCAGUGAUGCAUUGGCUUGUGGCCAAUGCAGUGCUGCAGGGAAGCCGUUAAGUUUGCCGCCUGGGAAGUACGUACGCAAGUAUGAAACUUAAAGGAAUUGGCGGGGGAGCACCACAAGGGGUGAAGCCUGCGGUUC
rnacentral:rRNA from 1 species